rnacentral:tRNA from 1 species
GCCUCUAUAGCUCAGCGGUUAGAGUACGUCCUUGGUAAGGACGGGGUCCCGGGUUCAAGUCCCGGUAGAGGCU